CCCAUUCCGAACACAGAAGUUAAGCUCUUUAGCGCCGAUGGUACUUGGUGGGAAGCCGCCUGGGAGAGUAGGACGUAGCCACGU
rnacentral:rRNA from 1 species